rnacentral:lncRNA from 1 species
GCAAAGCACACAGUAAAGUCAGAGACAAAGCUGAACUUGGGGAAAUGUUGCCAUGGUGAAGGGAAAUUGAAGUUUAAACUGGGGGGAAUAAGGCUGGACACAGUUUCUGCAGACCGGCCGGAUGUCGAUGAUCCCAACCAGCCCUCGGUCCUGAGCGUCACCUGGUCCUGAGCGUCGCCUGGUCCUGAACAUCACCUGGUCCUGAGCGUCACCUGGUCCUGAGCAUCGCCUGGUCCUGAGCGUCCCCCAGGCUGGUGUCGGAGGUGUGAAGAUGAGCCAGCUCUGAUUUCUCCCGAUAUCCGCUCGCCAGACGCCUCCCAGUCCCGCCCGCCCCGUGCCCCGUGCCGACAACAAACGUGUGUCCCGGUGACGGAACCUCGGGCUGUGCUGUCACUCCUGCGAGACAGAGGGAAGAGCCACGUAACUCUGCGCCACAACAACUUGUAUUUGAAUGAAACAGAUAAGAUAAUGGCUGCAAUAACCUGACACAGUAGAUGGUACGUGGUUGUGGUCACCGCGGGAGCUGACGACGUUUGUCCUUUCAGCAGGGAGGAUGGGGAAUUAAAGCUGCUCAAUGCACGUGGCAGCUCUGGCCAUGGAUGCGAAGGCAGCACAGCCGGAUCGCACAAACUCACCAACGCCUGGACAGUGUCUCACCAUAUUCCACUGCCCCCGAGGAGCUUUCAGGGAAACCUUAAGUAAGUAUUUCAAAUGUUCCCUCAAGGAAUAUUAAUUAUGCUUCCUUGAGGUAAAGCAGCGUUGGCAAUAAGUUUGUUUAAUUAGCGUUUCAUCGCACUGCGUUGUCGGGGACGCAGACCCUCCACGGAAACACGGGGCUGUGCAGCUGCUACCAGGACAUCACACCAUGGCUUCAGAAAAAGAUUUUCAAAAGGUUCUUGUGUUUAAAUGAACCAAAC